AUGGCGGGGUGGUACGAGGAGGCGGCGGGUCUGCUGCUGCGCCGGCCGGCGUUGGCGGAGAUGGCGGUAGACGUGCUGCUGUGCGCCGUGCCGAUCUGGGCGGCGGUCAUGAUCGGUCUCUUCAUAGGGUGGGCAUGGCGGCCGCGCUGGACCGGGCUGAUCUUCCUCGGUUUCCGCAGCCGUCUCCGGCUCCUCUACGUGCCUCCCGGGCUCGGCGCGCGCCGCCUAUGGCUCGCCUGCACCGCGCUCUCCGCCUUCUCCAUCGCGCCGCAGCUGCUCUCCUCCGCCUUCCGCCGCCAUGGGAAGUACCAGCGCAAGGAUCCCUCGAACGACGACACGGACGCCUGCGGGGACGCUGGCGCUUGCGCUAACGGCAGGUCAAUUUUUGAGGGCAAGCAUGAUAUUGUCACUGAGAAGGACCUAGAUCACCUCGUGCAGCUUUUAGAUAAUAAAGAGAGUGGGCAUACAACAUGGCAGCAUUUGAUGGAGCGUACCACUUCCAACAUGACGUACAAGGCCUGGAGGCAUGAGCCCGAGGUGGGACCUAUAAUGCAUUGUAGCCAGACCAUUUUCGAGGAUGCUACUCCUGAACUGGUUAGAGAUUUCUUCUGGGAUGAUGAUUUUCGUCUAAAGUGGGAUCCCAUGCUUGUGUGUUUCAAAAUUUUGGAUGAGUUCCCUCAGAAUGGAACCACAAUUAUUCACUGGAUUAAAAAGUUCCCUUUCUUCUGCAGUGACCGUGAAUACAUUUUUGGGCGGCGUAUCUGGGAGUCGGGGAAGGCUUACUAUUGUGUUACGAAGGGAAUUCCUUAUCCAUCUUUGCCCAAGAAGGAAAAACCGAGGCGUGUGGAAUUGUACUUCUCGAGUUGGCGUAUUAGACCUGUUCAAUCGCCCAAAAAAGACGGCCAGCAACCCAUGGCAUGUGAAGUAACUCUGUUUCACUACGAGGAUAUGGGCAUACCCAAGGAUGUUGCUAAAGUUGGUGUCCGGCACGGCAUGUGGGGUGCUGUUAAAAAGCUGCAGUCCGGCUUUAGAGCAUAUCAGCUAAUGAGAAAAUCAGAAAACAUCCUGUCACGCAGUGCCAUCAUGGCUCGUGUGACCACCAAGACAUGCAUUGCUAGUUCUGAUGGCUCCUUGGAUCAAGGGCCCUUCAGCACAGAACAAGCCAGUACAGAGGACGACAACUCUAGGUCAGUCCAACAUGGUUUUGACUGGAAGUGGGUGGUGGUCGGUGGCGCGGUGGCUGCCGUCUGCGUGCUUAACACCGGAAUUGUAGGGAAGGCCCUCUUACUUGGAGCUGCAAGAAAGCAGGCAAAGAAGUGA
rnacentral:rRNA from 1 species